UAUAGAAUGGCAAGAACAAUAAAAUUGUUGAACGUAACAAAAACUUCUUUAUUUGAUUUUGAAGGGAAACACACAACAAUAUAUAGACAGAAACUAAGUUCUUUCUCAUCUCUGGAGUAUGCAUAACAUUUUUAAAAACCAUGGUCUUUCCAGAGGUAAACUUUAAUUCCACAUCUCCUGUUCCAGCAACAAUUGUGGUGUGGGAAUCUCCUAAUCAGACUUUCUGAUUUUCAGCCACAAAAUAAGUUUUGAACAUAGAUCUAUCAUAGCAGACAUGACGAGUUGCGCUAGUGUCUACCCACCAUCCCUCGGAUCCACCAACAACAAUGAUUUCAGAAAUCAUAGCAAUAAAUUGGUCCUCAGUAAGUUUUGCUUUUGGAGCAGGCUGACCUUUCCUUCGACAAUUCCUGCAAAAAUGACCAGACAUACCACAACUAUAACAAUUGAAUGGUCUUGAGGGGGGCUCUUACAAAGAUUUGCCUUUGUAAUAAGAUUUGUAUUGUGAAUCACUCAAUUCUACAUUUAAUCUUAUUGAACCACAUAGUUUUAUAUCUUUUUACUUAUUGUUUUGAUUGUUCAGNUGAAUAUGUAACCUUCUCAUGCAUUGAUCAGCCACCAACUUUAAAGAUCCAAUUAAACUGUAACCUCUUUUGUAAUAACUAGCCACCUAGGAGUUAUAACACUAAUUAUGUUAUGAUUGUAAGCAUUUCAGCAUCCAAGCCUAUUUCCUAUAUAAAGGGGGCGAAAAUAAUGAAGGG
rnacentral:lncRNA from 1 species